GACGAACGCUGGCGGCGUGCUUAACACAUGCAAGUCGAACGAUGAAGCCGGAGCUUGCUCUGGUGAAUUAGUGGCGAACGGGUGAGUAACACGUGAGUAACCUGCCCUUGACUCUGGGAUAACUGCUAGAAAUGGUAGCUAAUACCGGAUACGACCCUCGGCGGCAUCGCCAGGGGGUGGAAAGAAUUUCGGUCAAGGAUGGACUCGCGGCCUAUCAGCUAGUUGGUGAGGUAACGGCUCACCAAGGCGACGACGGGUGGCCGGCCUGAGAGGGUGACCGGCCACACUGGGACUGAGACACGGCCCAGACUCCUACGGGAGGCAGCAGUGGGGAAUAUUGCACAAUGGGCGCAAGCCUGAUGCAGCAACGCCGCGUGAGGGAUGACGGCCUUCGGGUUGUAAACCUCUUUUAGUAGGGAAGAAGCGAAAGUGACAGUACCUGCAGAAAAAGCACCGGCUAACUACGUGCCAGCAGCCGCGGUAA
rnacentral:rRNA from 1 species